rnacentral:rRNA from 1 species
GAUGAACGCUGGCGGCGUGCCUAAUACAUGCAAGUCGAGCGAACGGACGAGAAGCUUGCUUCUCUGAUGUUAGCGGCGGACGGGUGAGUAACACGUGGAUAACCUACCUAUAAGACUGGGAUAACUUCGGGAAACCGGAGCUAAUACCGGAUAAUAUUUUGAACCGCAUGGUUCAAAAGUGAAAGACGGUCUUGCUGUCACUUAUAGAUGGAUCCGCGCUGCAUUAGCUAGUUGGUAAGGUAACGGCUUACCAAGGCAACGAUGCAUAGCCGACCUGAGAGGGGGAUCGGCCACACUGGAACGGAGACACGGUCCAGACUCCUACGGGAGGCAGCAGUAGGGAAUCUUUCGGGAUGGGCGAAAGCCUGACGGAGCAACGCCGCGUGAGUGAUGAAGGUCGUCGGAUCGUAAAACUCUGUUAUUAGGGAAGAACAUAUGUGUAAGUAACUGUGCACAUCUUGACGGUACCUAAUCAGAAAGCCACGGCUAAAUACGUG